GCCAGUAUGGCAUAGUGGUUUGAGUGUUGGACUGUGACUCUGGAGACCAGGGUUCAAUUUCCACUCAGGCA